rnacentral:rRNA from 1 species
CGGCCGCGGUAUCCUAACCGUGCAAAGGUAGCAUAAUCAUUUGUCUAUUAAUUGUAGACCUGUAUGAAAGGCAAAAUGAGAGCCCAACUGUCUCUUAUAACAAAUCAAUUAAACUGAUCUCCUAGUACAAAAGCUAGAAUAACAACAUAAGACCAGAAGACCCUGUGAAGCUUUAACAAACCUAUUAAACCUAAUAAUAAUUACUUUCGGUUGGGGCGACCUUGGAACAAAAAAGAACUUCCAACACAUGACUUCAUCAUAAAACAGGCAUACAAGCCAUAUUAGACCCAGCACAGCUGAUAAUUGAAAUAAGUUACUCCAGGGAUAACAGCGCCAUCUUCUUUAAGAGCCCAUAUCAAAAAG